rnacentral:tRNA from 1 species
GGUCGGGUGGCUCGAGUGGCUAGGCGGGGGCCGGCAAAACCCCCUACAGAGGUUCGAAUCCUCUUUCGACCUCCA